GAUCUGUCACUCCUCUCCUCACGAGAAUGGUUCCUCUUCGUGGCUGAGCAGCCAGUGACCAGGCUUUGCUCGCUUCCAUUUGGAGAACUUGCUUGUAGGAAGAAGCUUUGCUCUUCAAAAAGAAUUUCCAUCAAGGGCACAGGUCAGAAAACAGCAUGAAGACUAUCAACCUCAUGAAGUCAUCGGGAACGUGCUCCAGUGGAAAAGACGAGUCAAGCAUGACCUCUCAAAUGUAAAUGACCGUCUCAUAAGCAUCAGCUUGGUACAAGGAAUGAGGGCUGGAAGUUUGGGUAUCUGGGUUCUCUUCCCAGCUUCACUUUGCCCACUACUCUCUGCCACCCUGAUGGACAUUGGCG